rnacentral:tRNA from 1 species
UAGUGUAGCUCAGUGGUAGAGCACUUGCCUAGUAUACAUCAGGUCCUGGGUUCAAUCCCCACCACUA